ACUGCUGUAGAAGAUAAUUUCCCCACAAUGACGGAUAUUAUGAUUGUAUUUGCUUAAUGAAACCCCAAGAGCUCUGUGCCAUAUCUAAUGCAGUGGAGAAAUCCUCCCAGGUGCCAAAAGGAAAGAAAGAAAGAUGUGCUAUUAGAUUGUACGAGAACUGAGGCCAGGAUGUAUCUAAUGGCAGAGUUUCAGUGGCAAAGAACAUUUUGUGCCAAAAAGGGAAUUAUCACAGCAGGAACUAACAGCACCAGAUAUCGAGAGUGAAGAGCAAUUUAAAGAAUAAAAGAGGAGGCGGAAGGAGGUGUCUUUGAAAACUCUAAAAACUUUUUGAAAGGCUAGACAAGCCCUGUUUUCCAUGUUUUACUUGAAAA